GACGAACGCUGGCGGCGUGCCUAAUACAUGCAAGUAGAACGCUGAAGGAGGAGCUUGCUUCUCCGGAUGAGUUGCGAACGGGUGAGUAACGCGUAGGUAACCUGCCUGGUAGCGGGGGAUAACUAUUGGAAACGAUAGCUAAUACCGCAUAAGAGUAGAUGUCGCAUGACAUUUGCUUAAAAGGUGCAAUUGCAUCACUACCAGAUGGACCUGCGUUGUAUUAGCUAGUUGGUGAGGUAACGGCUCACCAAGGCAACGAUACAUAGCCGACCUGAGAGGGUGAUCGGCCACACUGGGACUGAGACACGGCCCAGACUCCUACGGGAGGCAGCAGUAGGGAAUCUUCGGCAAUGGACGGAAGUCUGACCGAGCAACGCCGCGUGAGUGAAAGAAGGGUUUUUCGGGAUCGUAAAAGCUUCUGUUGUAAAG
rnacentral:rRNA from 1 species